UUGUGGAGGAGGACGCCGAAGGUGGGGCUAAUGACUGGGGUGAAGUCGUAACAAGGUAGCCGUACCGGAAGGUGCGGCUGGAUCACCUCCUAACAGGGAGACAACAAAAUGUAAAUAUUAAUUUUGUCACCUUAGGUCGAUCGGUAUCUCAGAUUCUUAUUAUUUAAGAAUUUCAGUUUCUAAGUUUUUUCUAGGUCACACCCAUCACUUUUUCCUGGGCCAUUAGCUCAGGUGGUUAGAGCGCACCCCUGAUAAGGGUGAGGUCCCUGGUUCAAGUCCAGGAUGGCCCAUAUCUCUAUGUUGGGGGUAUAGCUCAGUUGGUAGAGCGCCUGCUUUGCAAGCAGGAUGUCAGCGGUUCGAGUCCGCUUACCUCCACUGAAUACCACCUCUUACAUAUAGUUGAAGUGGGAAAUUGUUUUGAGUCGUGUCCUAAUUUGCUCUGAGCGAAUCUAGCUUCCUAUUUUAUCCAAGAAAUAAGAUGCUGGACUCAUUGAAUUUUUUUUCAUUGUUUUCAGAGAACCUUGACAACUGCAUAGAUUAUUUUUAAAGACAAUAAGCAUCUUUAAUGAUGCAGAUUUAUUAUUUGUGCGAAUGCAUUAAAUAACAAUUCUAUUAAGCUGAUGCUUCAAUUAUUGAAGUUAUUGGUCAAGCUACAA
rnacentral:misc_RNA from 1 species